GUACUACUGUCACAGCUCCUGGAGAGACGAGAACUACAGGGCCAAGUGGUUUGAGACAUACACAGAAGCUCCAAAGAACAGCAUGCUGUUACAGUGCCCCAAACUAGUGUGCAUGUAUGUUACAGCAGUUUAAAUGAGAAGCAAUUCCACUGAAAUUACCCUGUUAUAAAACCAGUGAGAACAGAACCAGGCACUUUUCCUAUUCCUUGGAAAUAUUCAUCCAUUACGAAACUCUCAAUUUACUUGUCAAGAAUGAACAAACCAGGAGAUUGCUUAGAAAAGUGAAAUAAUAAUCAAUAGAAUAAUACUUGAGGUAGACUGGCAUCCUGACACAGAAGAUGAAAUUAAAUGAGAAGCUCAGAGGAUAUUAUGUUCACCUAUUUGUUAACUGCAGUUUAACUUUCUUAUAUGUUAUUUAAUGGUUAAGUAAGCUCAGGCUAGCAUAAACUGGUAUGACAAACUUUGGAAUAUGAAUUGCUGAUUUUCUUUAAUGGGUUGGAUUGAAAAGAUCAUAGCUAGCCACUUCCCCACCCAUUCAUGUUUGAAUAAUAACAAUUCCAUUCCAUUCUCCAGCCCACCUCCUUCUCCAAAUUCCCAGAAGAAAAUAUGGGUCUUUAACCUAGACACUGGCAGGGCAAUUUUUCAUUUUUUUCUGUGUUAUAAUCUUUAAUAAAUAUAUAUGGAAAGAGA